GAGCUUCACUCCAACCCAUGUGACCAUACCAAACUGUUGCCUCGGCGGGGUCACGCCCCGGGUGCGUCGCAGCCCCGGAACCAGGCGCCCGCCGGAGGGACCAACCAAACUCUUUCUGUAGUCCCCUCGCGGACGUUAUUUCUUACAGCUCUGAGCAAAAAUUCAAAAUGAAUCAAAACUUUCAACAACGGAUCUCUUGGUUCUGGCAUCGAUGAAGAACGCAGCGAAAUGCGAUAAGUAAUGUGAAUUGCAGAAUUCAGUGAAUCAUCGAAUCUUUGAACGCACAUUGCGCCCGCCAGUAUUCUGGCGGGCAUGCCUGUCCGAGCGUCAUUUCAACCCUCGAACCCCUCCGGGGGGUCGGCGUUGGGGAUCGGGAACCCCUAAGACGGGAUCCCGGCCCCGAAAUACAGUGGCGGUCUCGCCGCAGCCUCUCCUGCGCAGUAGUUUGCACAACUCGCACCGGGAGCGCGGCGCGUCCACGUCCGUAAAACACCCAACUUCUGAAAUGUUGACCUCGGAUCAGGUAGGAAUACCCGCUGAACUUAAGCAUAUCAA
rnacentral:rRNA from 1 species